UACGUAGGGGGCAAGCGUUGUCCGGAAUCAUUGGGCGUAAAGAGCGCGUAGGCGGCCAGAUAAGUCCGGUGUGAAAGUCACAGGCUCAACCUGUGAAUGCCGCUGGAAACUGUCUGGCUAGAGUCCGGGAGGGGCGAGUGGAAUUCCUGGUGUAGCGGUGAAAUGCGCAGAUAUCAGGAGGAACACCAGCGGCGAAGGCGGGUCUCUGGACAGUUCCUGACGCUGAGGCACGAAGGCCAGGGGAGCAAACGGGAUUGAGA
rnacentral:rRNA from 1 species